CGGGGUGUAGCGCAGUUUGGUAGCGCACCUGCUUUGGGAGCAGGGGGCCGGGGGUUCGAAUCCCUUCACCCCGACCA
rnacentral:tRNA from 1 species